rnacentral:rRNA from 1 species
UACAGAGGGGGCAAGCGUUGUUCGGAAUUACUGGGCGUAAAGGCGCGUAGGCGGCCUUCUAAGUCGAACGUGAAAUCCCUGGGCUCAACCCAGGAACUGCGUCCGAUACUGGAAGGCUUGAAUCCGGGAGAGGGAUGCGGAAUUCCAGGUGUAGCGGUGAAAUGCGUAGAGAUGUGGAGGAACACCAGUGGCGAAGGCGGCUUUUGGUCUGUAACUGACGCUGAGGCGCGAAAGCGUGGGGAGCAAACAGG